AAUGAACGUUGGCGGCGUGGAUUAGGCAUGCAAGUCGAACGAGAACCCCGCAAGGGGUGAAAGUGGCAAACGGCGUAGUAAGGCGUAGGUGACGUACCUCCCGAUUCAGGAUAGCUACGGGAAACUGUAGGUAAUACUGGAUGAUCCCUCCGAGAUUGAAAAUCGGAGUGCAAAGGUGUGAUUCCGUCGGGAGAGCGGCUUACGUGGUAUUAGCUAGUUGGUGAGGUAACGGCUCACCAAGGCUUCGAUGCCUAGGGGGUGUUAGCGCAUGACCCCCACGACUGGGACUGAGAUACUGCCCAGACACCUACGGGUGGCUGCAGUCGAGAAUCUUCGGCAAUGGGCGCAAGCCUGACCGAGCGACGCCGCGUGCGGGAUGAAGGCCCUUGGGUUGUAAACCGCUGUCAGAGGGGAUGAAGUGCAGGUGGGCUAUCCCACCUGUUUGACAUAGCCUCAGAGGAAGCACGGGCUAAGUUCGUG
rnacentral:rRNA from 1 species